rfam:Bradyrhizobium sp. STM 3843, WGS project CAFK01000000 data, contig: 00083-775
CGAACCCGCAAGGCUUGGGAGAGCUGACACGGGUUCGAGAUCACCCGUUAACGAUCGCCUUGGGAGAGGCGCCGCUUUCGGGAUUCGCUAAAAGGGGAGCUUGACCGAUGGAGAAUGCGCUUCUCGUCGGAUUGUCGCGGCAGAUGGUGCUGG